rnacentral:rRNA from 1 species
GAUGAACGCUAGCGGGAGGCCUAACACAUGCAAGCCGAGCGGUAUUGUUUCUUCGGAAAUGAGAGAGUGGCGUACGGGUGCGUAACACGUGUGCAACCUGCCUUUAUCUGGGGGAUAGCCUUUCGAAAGGAAGAUUAAUACUCCAUAAUAUAUUGAACGGCAUCGUUUAAUAUUGAAAGCUCCGGCGGAUAGAGAUGGGCACGCGCAAGAUUAGCUAGUUGGUGAGGUAACGGCCCACCAAGGCGAUGAUCUUUAGGGGGCCUGAGAGGGUGAUCCCCCAAACUGGUACUGAGACACGGACCAGACUCCUACGGGAGGCAGCAGUGAGGAAUAUUGGUCAAUGGGUGCAAGCCUGAACCAGCCAGCCCGCGUGAAGGACGACUGCCCUAUGGGUUGUAAACUUCUUUUGUAUAGGGAUAAACCUACCCUCGAGAGGGUAGCUGAAGGUACUAUACGAAUAAGCACCGGCUAACUACGUG